GACGUAGGGGGCCAGCGUUGUUCGGAAUUACUGGGUGUAAAGGGUUCGUAGGCGGUGCGGCAAGUUGGGAGUGAAAUCUCUGGGCUUAACCCAGAGGCUGCUUCCAAAACUGCUGUGCUUGAGUGUGGGAGAGGCGCGUGGAAUUGCAGGUGUAGCGGUGAAAUGCGUAGAUAUCUGGAGGAAUACCGGUGGCGAAGGCGGCAUCCUGGACCGGCAUUGACGCUGAACAGCGAAAGCUAGGGGAGCAAACGGG
rnacentral:rRNA from 1 species